GGGCGGUUAGCUCAGUUGGUAUAGAGCGUUUCCCUUACAAGGAAGAGGUCACAGGUUCGAAUCCUGUACCGCCCA
rnacentral:tRNA from 1 species